UUGAUUUAUUAUGAUGAGAUUAUUCGUGAAUACUAACCAACGUUAUAAUUAUAAAUAGCUAAUGGUGGAUAACACACUUAUUACUAACAUACUUAUCUUUAGUGUUGACGUUUGUAUUCGGACAGAAUAGUUGAUGAUGCUUUGUAUACACUGUGCAGGCUCGCAUAGAAACAAGAUAUUUAUGUGCGUAAAUGAGUGAUAUAACUUGACCAAGAUUUUGAAAUCACUAUAGUAUAUAGGUAUAUAUAUAUUUACUUUAUGCUAUUGUUGAUAUAUAGCAAAACACAUCCAUAGCCGUUGUAAAUUAUUUAUGAUUUGUGUUUUGUUUCAAUUUGAUGAACACACUGAUGUUUUACGUGCAUAUUUUAGUUGAAAGACAAUAAAAAUAACCUUGUUUGUGUGAAUGAUCAUAUGUAACUUGUAAGAUUUUAUAGCUAUAUCAAAAUAAAAUAUAUUGAAAACAAAAAUAUAUUAAGUAAUAGAAACACAUUGUUUUAUACGAUCAUACGUUUAACAUACCCAAUAACAAUCUCAGCACAUAUUGACAAUAUUUUUAAUUAUGUAGGAAAUCAUGUCCAAAAAUAUUAAUAUGUGGAAAUUUGGAGAACAAUUUCUUAUCAAGUGAGAGCAAUGGGAUGUGCUUGAAAUUGUCAAUAACUGCAAUUUUAAGUAAUAUGUAUUUAUUAGUUUAGGUUAAAUUGAAUUCUCCAUGCUCAACAAACACUUAUGUAUUUGUUAUAACAAAAUUCAUAAUUAAUGAAAUUUGUAAAAAAUCAAUUUGAUAGAAUGACAAUAGAGUGUUGUAAUUCUGACUAAUAUUAAAGCAUGCACUGCACAAUAUAAUAUGGCACUUCAAUAUAUUCAUACACUUUUAUGAUAUUAUUAUACUUGCUAAUUAUUUUAUAUUUGACAUAUAACUGACCCUUAAAAAGUUUUACACAUAUCUUAAGCCAGACUUCCCCAUAAAAUCUGAUUGUUUAUAUUCAAGCUUUAAUUCAAAUCAAAUGUGUUUUGUGUUGUUCAACAAGUAAAUAACCUUUGUUUAUGUACAUUUUAUGUCAUAUUUCAAUAACGUAUUAUACUGAUAUUUACAGUGAGAAUAAAAUACACAUUUUAUUAUGCCCCCCUUCGAAGAAGAGGGGGUAUAUUGCUUUGCACAUGUCGGUCGGUCGGUUGGUCGGUCCGUCCACCAGGUGGUUUCCGGAUGAUAACUCAAGAACGCUUAGGCCUAGGAUCAUGAAACUUCAAAGAUACAUUGAUCAUGACUCGCAGAUGACCCCUAUUGAUUUUGAGGUCACUAGGUCAAAGGUCAAGGUCACCGUGACCCGAAAUAGUAUAAUGGUUUCCGGAUGAUAACUCAAGAACACUUAUGCCUAGGAUCAUGAAACUUGAUAGGGAGAUUGAUCAUGACUUGCAGAUGACCCCUAUUGAUUUUCAGGUCACUAGGUCAAAGGUCAAGGUCACGGUGACCCGAAAUAGUAAAAUGGUUUUCGGAUGAUAACUCAAGAACACUUAUGGCUAGGAUCAUGAAACUUCAUAGGUACAUAAUGAUCAUGACUCACAGAUGACCCCUAUUGAUUAUCAGGUCACUAGGUCAAAGGUUAAGGUCACCGUGACAAAAAACAUAUUCACACAAUGGCUGUCAAUACAACGGAGAGCCCUAAUGGGGGGGGGGUAUGCAUGUUUUACAAACAGCCCUUGUUUUAAUUUGUAUCAUUGUUUAGCUAAAUAAAAUGGUAACCAUGCAAGUGUACAAAUUAUGAUUAUUGGGCUAUAUUGGUAUGAUUAAUUUUUAUCUUUCGCCCAACACCAACGUGACAUUUUGCUAUGGUAAGGCUCUGUUGUAUUAAGUGAAUUGUAUGGAAAUAGCUCCAAGGCCUUUAUGAAGAGCCUGUGUAACACAUCAUGAUCUUUGACUCAUCAAUUGAUUGCAUCAUUUUGUCUCACGUGCGUCAAUAUCUUCAUAUCGUAGAUAACUUCGUCUCUGCUUGUAAGUGAAUUUUAAUUAUUCAUGUUUAGAUAUUUCUCUAAACUGUAAACAUACGUGUUAAAUAACCGUAUCAUUAUUUUACUGUCUGUGUAAUUAAAUUAAAUAUUUUCUAUAGUAUUCUGUCAUAACUGUCAAUAAAUGUAGUUUUUUAAGACAACGCAAAUAUACUAAUCGUAGUGUAGAGUCAACCGCUACUAUAAUCAGUGGUUUGUUUGAAAAGGUAUGUAAUAAUAAUGUGUAUGUAUAUAUGUAUAUUUGUUGAACAAAGUUUGUUGUUCCACUUGUGUUAAUGUACAUAGCUAUCCCUUGAGUGGAAAUAAUGUUGUACGUUUACUAUUUAUUGAUAUCAAAAUAAAAAAAAGAUAUUUG